GGGUAGUAAAACUUAUUAAAACCUAUUUAUUUUGACGGCAUCUUCUCUUUAUUAGAGGAACUUGUUUCAUAAUCGAUAACCCACGAUAGAUUUCACUUAAGUUUCUAAUUUAUAUAUCACCAUUUAUAGAACAAAUAAAAAUAAUUUUUCCAAAUAAAAAAUAAAAAAUUAGGUCAAGAUAUAAUAAUAUUUAAGAAAAAAAUGAGUUACAUUAAAAUUAAUUUUAAGGAUUAUCUAUAUAAAUAUAUUUAUAAAAAAGGAUUUAAAAGUAAUCUAAAAACAAUAAUUCUAAAUGAAAUAAGAAAUAAAUGUGU
rnacentral:rRNA from 1 species